rnacentral:piRNA from 1 species
UAGAGUUAAACGCUCAGGAGCUCUCUGCU